AUUGAACGCUGGCGGCAUGCUUUACACAUGCAAGUCGAACGGCAGCGCGGGCUUCGGCCUGGCGGCGAGUGGCGAACGGGUGAGUAAUACAUCGGAACGUGCCCAGUAGUGGGGGAUAGCUCGGCGAAAGCCGGAUUAAUACCGCAUACGACCUGAGGGUGAGAGCGGGGGAUCUUCGGACCUCGCGCUAUUGGAGCGGCCGAUGGCAGAUUAGCUAGUUGGUGGGGUAAAGGCCUACCAAGGCGACGAUCUGUAGCUGGUCUGAGAGGACGACCAGCCACACUGGGACUGAGACACGGCCCAGACUCCUACGGGAGGCAGCAGUGGGGAAUUUUGGACAAUGGGCGAAAGCCUGAUCCAGCAAUGCCGCGUGUGUGAUGAAGGCCUUCGGGUUGUAAAGCACUUUUGGCGGGAACGAAAAGGACUGUGCCAAUACCACGGUUCGAUGACGGUACCCGCAGAAUAAGCACCGGCUAACUACGUG
rnacentral:rRNA from 1 species